rnacentral:tRNA from 1 species
GGCUGUGUGGUCUAGUGGUAUGAUUCUUGCUUCAGGUGUGAAAGGUCUCGUGUUCGAGUUUCAACUCAGCCC